UGAAUGCGCCCAAUCUCGUCUGAUCUUGGAAGCUAAGCA
ensembl:rRNA 5S_rRNA 5S ribosomal RNA